CACGUAGGGCGCAAGCGUUGUCCGGAAUUAUUGGGCGUAAAGAGCUCGUAGGCGGUCUGUUGCGUCCGCUGUGAAAACUCGGGGCUUAACCCCGAGCCUGCAGUGGAUACGGGCAGACUAGAGGUAGGUAGGGGAGAAUGGAAUUCCCGGUGUAGCGGUGAAAUGCGCAGAUAUCGGGAGGAACACCGAUGGCGAAGGCAGGUCACUGGGCCGCAACUGACGCUGAGGAGCGAAAGCAUGGGGAGCGAACAGG
rnacentral:rRNA from 1 species